UACGUAGGGGGCUAGCGUUGUCCGGAAUCAUUGGGCGUAAAGCGCGCGUAGGCGGCCCUGUAAGUCCGUUGUGAAAGUCAAAGGCUCAACCUUUGAAAGCCGAUGGAUACUGCAGGGCUAGAGUCCGGAAGAGGCGAGUGGAAUUCCUGGUGUAGCGGUGGAAUGCGCAGAUAUCAGGAGGAACACCGGUGGCGAAGGCGGGUCUCUGGGCCGAAACUGACGCUGAGGAGCGAAAGCGUGGGGAGCAAACAGG
rnacentral:rRNA from 1 species